CGAGCAUCUGUUUUUUUUUUUUUUUUUUCUUCGUGUUCUUGUUAUUGGUGUUGUUGUUGUUAUUAUUAUUCGAAAAUUUUCGCGAUAAAAAAUUAAAUUGAUUUUUAUUUUCGCAUUUUUGUCGUUUCGAUAGGAUGCGAACUUUAGGCGAUUGGAUGUUUGGCAAAAAUAUUUUCGGUUAUUAUUCGCGUUGGUGCCAAUUCCAGUCGGUAAAUUGGCAUGACACUGUUUCGGAUAAUCGUUGUACUGCGAAAACUAAUUACUGUAACCGUUUAUUUUUAGUUAUAAAGCGUAGCAAUCAUCAUAAAAUUUUACGAAAGGCAGAAAUGUGUUUUUGGAAAUGCCAUAUAUUUACGAUACUCGUUGUUUACUCUUCCGGAUGUUGUAUAAUGUGGCUUCUUUUGUAUUCGAAGACCCUCUAGUUGACCCCAUUUUAUGGUUCGGAACAGGUAAACAGUAUUCAUUCUCUUAUUCCGUGAGAAUGUCCAGGUUGACCAUCUGUUUUUCGUUUCUGAGAAGUAAACACAAUCCCAGUUUAAAAUUCAUUUCGGAAAUUUUACAAAUUUUUAAAAAAUUAUUUCCGAAUUUCGAAACUAUAUUAAUUUUUUAAAGCCA
rnacentral:lncRNA from 1 species